rnacentral:rRNA from 1 species
CCUACGGGUGGCAGCAGUGGGGAAUAUUGGGCAAUGGAGGCAACUCUGACCCAGCAACGCCGCGUGAAUGAUGAAGGUCCUCGGAUUGGAAAGCUCUUUUCUAAGGGAAGAAGAAAGUGACGGUAACUUAGGAAUAAGCCUACGCUAACUACAUGCAAGCAGCCGCGGUAAUACGUAGGAGGCAAGCGUUAGUCGGAAUGACUGGGCGUAAAGGGUGCGUAGGUGGUUUGACAAGUUAGUAGCGCAACUCCGGAGCUCAACCUCCGAACUACUACUAAAACUGUUGGACUUGAGUGCAGGAGGGGCAAUCGGAAUUCCUAGUGUAGCGGUGGAAUGCGUAGAUAUUAGGAGGAACACCAGUGGCGAAGGCAGAUUGCUAGACUGUAACUGACACUGAGGCACGAAAGCGUGGGGAGCAAACAGGAUUAGAUACCCGGGUAGGC